CUAUGUGAGCUCUAGAAGAGUGGGAAGGGUCUGUCAAGGAAGGGGGGGCUCCAAUUGGAAGAGAGGUGACACCAAAAGAAGCUGCAUUGAUGACCACCAAUCAAAAACUUGUGUCAGUGUCUUCUAGUCCAAAACGCUAAAGCUCCAAACCACAAAACUUAGUGGAGCAGAAAAAGGACGCCACUGAAUGCUGCAAGUAGGGAAC
rnacentral:lncRNA from 1 species